rnacentral:rRNA from 1 species
AACGAACGCUGGCGGCAUGCCUAACACAUGCAAGUCGAACGAAGGCUUCGGCCUUAGUGGCGCACGGGUGCGUAACGCGUGGGAAUCUGCCCUUAGGUUCGGAAUAACAGCUGGAAACGGCUGCUAAUACCGGAUGAUAUCGCGAGAUCAAAGAUUUAUCGCCUGAGGAUGAGCCCGCGUUGGAUUAGGUAGUUGGUGGGGUAAAGGCCUACCAAGCCGACGAUCCAUAGCUGGUCUGAGAGGAUGAUCAGCCACACUGGGACUGAGACACGGCCCAGACUCCUACGGGAGGCAGCAGUGGGGAAUAUUGGACAAUGGGCGAAAGCCUGAUCCAGCAAUGCCGCGUGAGUGAUGAAGGCCCUAGGGUUGUAAAGCUCUUUUACCCGGGAAGAUAAUGACUGUACCGGGAGAAU